CCUACGGGUGGCAGCAGUGAGGAAUAUUGGUCAAUGGACGAGAGUCUGAACCAGCCAAGCCGCGUGAAGGAUGAAUGCCCUAUGGGUUGUAAACUUCUUUUAUAUGGGAAUAAAAUGCUCCACGUGUGGGAUUUUGUAUGUACCAUAUGAAUAAGGAUCGGCUAACUCCGUGCCAGCAGCCGCGGUAAUACGGAGGAUCCGAGCGUUAUCCGGAUUUAUUGGGUUUAAAGGGUGCGUAGGUGGAUUGUUAAGUCAGUUGUGAAAGUUUGGGGCUUAACCCUGGAAUUGCAGUUGAAACUGGCAGUCUAGAGUGCAGGAGAGGUAGGCGGAAUGCGUGGUGUAGCGGUGAAAUGCGUAGAUAUCACGAAGAACUCCGAUUGCGAAGGCAGCUCACUGGACUACAACUGACGCUGAGGCUCGAAAGUGUGGGUAUCAAACAGGAUUAGAUACCCCAGUAGUC
rnacentral:rRNA from 1 species